rnacentral:rRNA from 1 species
ACGAACGCUGGCGGCGUGCUUAACACAUGCAAGUCGGGCGGAAAGGCCCUUCGGGGUACUCGAGCGGCGAACGGGUGAGUAACACGUGAGUAACCUGCCCCAGACUUUGGGAUAACCCUCGGAAACGGGGGCUAAUACCGGAUACGACACAGCUUCGCAUGGGGUCUGUGUGGAAAGUUUUUCGGUUUGGGAUGGGCUCGCGGCCUAUCAGCUUGUUGGUGGGGUGAUGGCCUACCAAGGCGACGACGGGUAGCCGGCCUGAGAGGGCGACCGGCCACACUGGGACUGAGACACGGCCCAGACUCCUACGGGAGGCAGCAGUGGGGAAUAUUGCACAAUGGGCGGAAGCCUGAUGCAGCGACGCCGCGUGAGGGAUGACGGCCUUCGGGUUGUAAACCUCUUUCAGCAGGGACGAAGCGUAAGUGACGGUACCUGCAGAAGAAGCGCCGGCCAACUACGUGC